AUUGAACGCUGGCGGCAGGCCUAACACAUGCAAGUCGAGCGAACCUAGCUUGCUAGGUGAGCGGCGAACGGGUGAGUAACACGUAGGAAUCUGCCCGAUAGUGGGGGACAACGUCUCGAAAGGGACGCUAACACCGCAUACGCCCUAAGGGGGAAAGCAGGGGAUCUUCGGACCUUGCGCUAUCGGAUGAGCCUGCGUCGGAUUAGCUAGUUGGCGGGGUAAAGGCCCACCAAGGCGACGAUCCGUAGCUGGUCUGAGAGGAUGAUCAGCCACACCGGAACUGAGACACGGUCCGGAGUCCUACGGGAGGCAGCAGUGGGGAAUAUUGGACAAUGGGGGCAACCCUGAUCCAGCCAUGCCGCGUGUGUGAAGAAGGCCUUCGGGUUGUAAAGCACUUUAAGCGGGGAGGAAAGUUCGCUGGCUAAUAUCCAGCGGAAUUGACGUUACCCGCAGAAUAAGCACCGGCUAACUCCGUGCCAGCAGCCGCAGUAA
rnacentral:rRNA from 1 species